AGAGUUUGAUCCUGGCUCAGGAUGAACGCUAGCGGCAGGCUUAAUACAUGCAAGUCGUGGGGCAGCACAGGUAGCAAUACUGGGUGGCGACCGGCAAACGGGUGCGGAACACGUACGCAACCUUCCUUUAAGUGGGGAAUAGCCCAGGGAAACUUGGAUUAAUACCCCGUAACACUAUGAAGUGGCAUCAUCUUAUAGUUAAAGCUACGGCGCUUAAAGAUGGGCGUGCGGCUGAUUAGGUAGUUGGCGGAGUAACAGCCCACCAAGCCAACGAUCAGUAACUGGUGUGAGAGCACGACCAGUCACACGGGCACUGAGACACGGGCCCGACUCCUACGGGAGGCAGCAGUAAGGAAUAUUGGUCAAUGGACGCAAGUCUGAACCAGCCAUGCCGCGUGGAGGAUGAAGGCCCUCUGGGUUGUAAACUUCUUUUAUUUGGGAAGAAACCUAUCCUUUCUAGGGUAGUUGACGGUACCAGAUGAAUAAGCACCGGCUAACUCCGUGCCAGCAGCCGCGGUAAUACGGAGGGUGCAAGCGUUAUCCGGAUUCACUGGGUUUAAAGGGUGCGUAGGUGGGCAGGUAAGUCAGUGGUGAAAUCUCUGAGCUUAACUCAGAAACUGCCGUUGAUACUAUCUGUCUUGAAUAUCGUGGAGGUGAGCGGAAUAUGUCAUGUAGCGGUGAAAUGCUUAGAUAUGACAUAGAACACCAAUUGCGAAGGCAGCUCGCUACACGGUUAUUGACACUGAGGCACGAAAGCGUGGGGAUCAAACAGGAUUAGAUACCCUCGUAGUCC
rnacentral:rRNA from 1 species